AUAAGUGAAAAUGGAUCCCAGAAACUUCCUGGACAAAUUUUUAUUCUUGAAAUCAAAUGCUCCUGACUCCUCUUGUCUGGAAUUUUCUAUUUUUUUAUAUCAUUAUUUCACAACAGGCUGAAUUGUGCAACCCUGUUGACAAUGGGAUGUUAGGGCGUAUGAUUUCGCUUUUUUUUUUAUAUAUUAUUGGACUGGGUCAGUUCAGCUUCUUCUUUGGGAGGGGACGUUACAAGGUUUGUCGGCGGAGAGGGUAAGAGGAAAGCACUCGGGGAACCCAAAUGGUUGUUGAAGGAACAGGAGUGCUGGCCAUGAUGUCCAUACAACCCCCUUGGGUUUGGACCUACAACGUCAAAUACAUGAUGAAGGAAUAGUGUCGGACUGGGCAUCGUAGUCCCACCAGUGGGUGCAACUUCAAGGGUCCUUGUCGCAACCUCCUCCUCCUGAAGUCUGCCCCCCCCGAGCACCAGAGAAAGAAACAAGAAAGUACACUCACAUCCGCAUCUUUUACCUGCUUUCACCUCAACUCAACAGUUCUGGGUUGGUGGGGCCCACCGUGUUUUUCCCGGUGUCCCAUCAGCCUAGUCCACCCCUGUGUCUUCAUAAUGGCAGUUUUCCGGACUUAACCUAGAGAAAAUGAUUCUCUCUUUCUUGUGCUCUUAGUAAAUUGAUAAACAUUUAUAGGAGACAUUGCCUUUGGAGAAAAGAUGUAAAUUUACACCGAUGUUUAAAGAAUUUUCUCUAAUGUGAAGUGUGGGGAAUAUUCAUUUUUUGGUGAAAAUACUCCAAAUUUCACCCUGUUGUAAAUAUGACCCAUAUGUGUGCCAUGGGCAGCACAGGCUGUACACAGAGAUUGCAUAAGUAAAGCAUAGUUCUGCAGGUCAAGUUAAGAGUAUAGUGGUGUUCAUCAUGCUGAUGAUGCAGUAUCAUGUAUUACAAGAGCACAAAAGACUUUAGUGCAAACUUCAGAUGCUGAUGUUUAAUUAUUCCCAGCUGUCUGACAUGUCAACAUUGCUUGAGUGUUGGGGUCAGUGACCCCAAUACAAAGAUAACUGUUCAAUACCAAAGUUGAGAGCUUCAGAAAGAAAAAGUUGCAUGCAUUAAUAAAAAAUACUUAUUUUGA